rnacentral:lncRNA from 1 species
GUGAAAACGUGUUUUCUACCCCAUAUAUAAUGGAGGAUAUUUUGAAAAAAGCUGAACAAGCAAAGAAUCAUUAAUUGCAUCGAAAUGUGAAGCCGUAUACCAAAAAGAAUACAAGAUAUAUCUGGACUGGCUGACACGGAAAAAUGUUAUGCCAAAAGAUGUUACUGAAACUGUAUUUCUGGCAUAUUUUCAAGAACUGGUAAGGAAUUUUCUAUGUUUUUCGGUAGAUUUGGUAGUAAUUGUGUUUAUUCGUUUCAGUCAGAAACGUAUAGUCCGAAUUUUUUAUGGACUAAAUGGUCAAUGCUAUACAUGAGAAACGAGAUAUCACCAAGUUCAAUGAACUACAGGCUUUUUUGAAACGGAAGAGUAAGAGUUAUAAGCCGAAAAAGUCUGCUGUUUUAUCUCCUAAAGAUGUUAUUAGAUUCCUAAAGGACGCUUCUAAUGAUAUUCAUUUAUUGCAUAAGGUUGUUUUGAUUAUGGGUUAUUUUGGAGGAUGCUGAAGUCAGGAACUUUUGAAUAUGAAGAUAUCGGAUAUAGAGGACCGGGAUUUCGUUAUGGUAGUGGACGUACCGGAAAGUAAAACUGGUGUAUCGAAGAAAUUUACAGUUGUGUAUGGAAAAGAGUUCUCCGCUUUGCCUUUAUUAAGACUUUAUAUGUCUUUGCGUCCUAAAGGUAUUGAACGAUUUUUUUUGAGCUUCCGACAAAAUAAAUGUACAUCUCAGCCAAUUGGAAAAAACAUGUUUGGGAAAAUCCCCAGCAAAAUCGCAAUGUAUUUAGGAUUGCCAAACUCAUCUUCCUAUACGGGACAUUGCCUUCGUCGCACUUCUGCUACUGCUCUAGCCAAUGCAG